UUAAGCGACUAAGCGUACACGGUGGAUGCCCUGGCAGUCAGAGGCGAUGAAGGACGUGCUAAUCUGCGAUAAGCGUCGGUAAGGUGAUAUGAACCGUUAUAACCGGCGAUUUCCGAAUGGGGAAACCCAGUGUGAUUCGUCACACUAUCAUUAACUGAAUCCAUAGGUUAAUGAGGCGAACCGGGGGAACUGAAACAUCUAAGUACCCCGAGGAAAAGAAAUCAACCGAGAUUCCCCCAGUAGCGGCGAGCGAACGGGGAGCAGCCCAGAGCCUGAAUCAGUGUGUGUGUUAGUGGAAGCGUCUGGAAAGGCGCGCGAUACAGGGUGACAGCCCCGUACACAAAAAUGCACAUGCUGUGAGCUCGAUGAGUAGGGCGGGACACGUGGUAUCCUGUCUGAAUAUGGGGGGACCAUCCUCCAAGGCUAAAUACUCCUGACUGACCGAUAGUGAACCAGUACCGUGAGGGAAAGGCGAAAAGAACCCCGGCGAGGGGAGUGAAAAAGAACCUGAAACCGUGUACGUACAAGCAGUGGGAGCACGCUUAGGCGUGUGACUGCGUACCUUUUGUAUAAUGGGUCAGCGACUUAUAUUCUGUAGCAAGGUUAACCGAAUAGGGGAGCCGAAGGGAAACCGAGUCUUAACUGGGCGUUAAGUUGCAGGGUAUAGACCCGAAACCCGGUGAUCUAGCCAUGGGCAGGUUGAAGGUUGGGUAACACUAACUGGAGGACCGAACCGACUAAUGUUGAAAAAUUAGCGGAUGACUUGUGGCUGGGGGUGAAAGGCCAAUCAAACCGGGAGAUAGCUGGUUCUCCCCGAAAGCUAUUUAGGUAGCGCCUCGUGAAUUCAUCUCCGGGGGUAGAGCACUGUUUCGGCAAGGGGGUCAUCCCGACUUACCAACCCGAUGCAAACUACGAAUACCGGAGAAUGUUAUCACGGGAGACACACGGCGGGUGCUAACGUCCGUCGUGAAGAGGGAAACAACCCAGACCGCCAGCUAAGGUCCCAAAGUCAUGGUUAAGUGGGAAACGAUGUGGGAAGGCCCAGACAGCCAGGAUGUUGGCUUAGAAGCAGCCAUCAUUUAAAGAAAGCGUAAUAGCUCACUGGUCGAGUCGGCCUGCGCGGAAGAUGUAACGGGGCUAAACCAUGCACCGAAGCUGCGGCAGCGACGCUGAUGCGUUGUUGGGUAGGGGAGCGUUCUGUAAGCCUGCGAAGGUGUGCUGUGAGGCAUGCUGGAGGUAUCAGAAGUGCGAAUGCUGACAUAAGUAACGAUAAAGCGGGUGAAAAGCCCGCUCGCCGGAAGACCAAGGGUUCCUGUCCAACGUUAAUCGGGGCAGGGUGAGUCGACCCCUAAGGCGAGGCCGAAAGGCGUAGUCGAUGGGAAACAGGUUAAUAUUCCUGUACUUGGUGUUACUGCGAAGGGGGGACGGAGAAGGCUAUGUUGGCCGGGCGACGGUUGUCCCGGUUUAAGCGUGUAGGCUGGUUUUCCAGGCAAAUCCGGAAAAUCAAGGCUGAGGCGUGAUGACGAGGCACUACGGUGCUGAAGCAACAAAUGCCCUGCUUCCAGGAAAAGCCUCUAAGCAUCAGGUAACAUCAAAUCGUACCCCAAACCGACACAGGUGGUCAGGUAGAGAAUACCAAGGCGCUUGAGAGAACUCGGGUGAAGGAACUAGGCAAAAUGGUGCCGUAACUUCGGGAGAAGGCACGCUGAUAUGUAGGUGAAGCGACUUGCUCGUGGAGCUGAAAUCAGUCGAAGAUACCAGCUGGCUGCAACUGUUUAUUAAAAACACAGCACUGUGCAAACACGAAAGUGGACGUAUACGGUGUGACGCCUGCCCGGUGCCGGAAGGUUAAUUGAUGGGGUUAGCGCAAGCGAAGCUCUUGAUCGAAGCCCCGGUAAACGGCGGCCGUAACUAUAACGGUCCUAAGGUAGCGAAAUUCCUUGUCGGGUAAGUUCCGACCUGCACGAAUGGCGUAAUGAUGGCCAGGCUGUCUCCACCCGAGACUCAGUGAAAUUGAACUCGCUGUGAAGAUGCAGUGUACCCGCGGCAAGACGGAAAGACCCCGUGAACCUUUACUAUAGCUUGACACUGAACAUUGAGCCUUGAUGUGUAGGAUAGGUGGGAGGCUUUGAAGUGUGGACGCCAGUCUGCAUGGAGCCGACCUUGAAAUACCACCCUUUAAUGUUUGAUGUUCUAACGUGGACCCGUAAUCCGGGUUGCGGACAGUGUCUGGUGGGUAGUUUGACUGGGGCGGUCUCCUCCUAAAGAGUAACGGAGGAGCACGAAGGUUGGCUAAUCCUGGUCGGACAUCAGGAGGUUAGUGCAAUGGCAUAAGCCAGCUUGACUGCGAGCGUGACGGCGCGAGCAGGUGCGAAAGCAGGUCAUAGUGAUCCGGUGGUUCUGAAUGGAAGGGCCAUCGCUCAACGGAUAAAAGGUACUCCGGGGAUAACAGGCUGAUACCGCCCAAGAGUUCAUAUCGACGGCGGUGUUUGGCACCUCGAUGUCGGCUCAUCACAUCCUGGGGCUGAAGUAGGUCCCAAGGGUAUGGCUGUUCGCCAUUUAAAGUGGUACGCGAGCUGGGUUUAGAACGUCGUGAGACAGUUCGGUCCCUAUCUGCCGUGGGCGCUGGAGAACUGAGGGGGGCUGCUCCUAGUACGAGAGGACCGGAGUGGACGCAUCACUGGUGUUCGGGUUGUCAUGCCAAUGGCACUGCCCGGUAGCUAAAUGCGGAAGAGAUAAGUGCUGAAAGCAUCUAAGCACGAAACUUGCCCCGAGAUGAGUUCUCCCUGACUCCUUGAGAGUCCUGAAGGAACGUUGAAGACGACGACGUUGAUAGGCCGGGUGUGUAAGCGCAGCGAUGCGUUGAGCUAACCGGUACUAAUGAACCGUGAGGCUUAACCUU
rnacentral:rRNA from 1 species